CUAGUACAAGGAAAGUAAGAUAAAUACAAUGUUCUGGUUUUUUCCAAGAGACAAACAUUUCUGACAUUCAGGUGAUGUAACGUGAUUAAUGAGCAGAUAUUUCACAUAAAAGUUUUUAGUGUAAAAUAAAAGGUCACAGAUGGAAUCCUAUUAAGGCAAGCCUUACUAAGUUCAAAGUACCUACAUAGAUUUUAGUAUUAAUAUUUGAAACUAUGAAAGUGAAGAUCUUGUGAAGAAAA